AUCCAACUGAUGAGUCCCAAAUAAGAUAAAACGCGCUUCCUAGAU
rnacentral:hammerhead_ribozyme from 1 species